UUCCGGUUGAUCCUGCCGGAGGCUACUGCCAUCAGAGUUCGAUUUAGCCAUGUUAGUCGAGGGUGCUUCUUCUUCGGAAGAAGUAACCCGGCGGACGGCUCAGUAACACGUGGAUAACUUGCCCUUGGGUCUGGGAUAACCCCUGAGAAAUUGGGGACAAUACCGGAUAGGUCAUCGAUUGCUGGAAUGCACGAUGUCCAAAAGUUGAGGCGCCCAAGGAUAGGUCUGCGGCCUAUCAGGUUGUUGUUGAUGUAAUGGACCAACAAGCCUGCAAUCGGUACGGGUUGUGAGAGCAAGAGCCCGGAGAUGGGUUCUGAGAAAAGAACCCAGGUCCUACGGGACGCAUCAGGCGCGAAAACUUUACAAUGUGCGAAAGCACGAUAAGGGAACUCUGAGUGCCUCCUAUGGAGGCUGUUCAGGUGUCUAAAAAGCACUUGAAGUAAGGGCUGGGUAAGACCGGUGCCAGCCGCCGCGGUAACACCGGCAGCCCAAGUGGUAAGCACGAUAAUUGGGUCUAAAGCGUCCGUAGCCGGCCAGGUAAGUCCUUUGGGAAAUUUAACCGCUCAACGGUUAAGCUUUCAGGGAAUACUGCUUGGCUUGGGACCGGGAGAGGUCAGAGGUACUUCAAGGGUAGGGGUGAAAUCCGUUAAUCCUUGAGGGACCACCAGUAGCGAAGGCGUCUGACCAGACCGGGUCCGACGGUGAGGGACGAAGGCUAGGAUCGCGAACCGGAUUAGAUACCCGGGUAGUCCUAGCUGUAAACGAUGCGGGCCAGGUGUUGGCAUUACUGCGAGUGAUGUCAGUGCCGAAGGGAAGCCGUUAAGCCCGCCAUCUGGGGAGUACGGUCGCAAGGCUGAAACUUAAAGGAAUUGGCGGGGGAGCACCACAACGGGUGGAGCCUGCGGUUCAAUUGGAUUCAACGCCGGGAAACUCACCGGAGGCGACAGCAAGAUGAAGGUCAGGCUGAAGACCUUACCAGAUUAGCUGAGAGGUGGCGCAUGGCCGUCGACAGUUCGUGUCGUGAAACAUCCUGUUAAGUCAGGCAACGGGCGAGACCCGCGCUCACAGUUGCCAGCAUCUCCGCAAGGAGGAUGGGAACUCUGUGAGGACUGCCGCCGCUAAGGUGGAGGAAGAAGCGGGCCACGGUAGGUCAGUAUGCCCCGAAUCCUCCGGGCUACACGCGUGCUACAAUGGAUAGUACAAUGAGUAUCGACCCCGAAAGGGGAAGGUAAACCCCUAAAACUAUCCUUAGUUGGGAUCGAGGGCUGCAACUCGCCCUCGUGAACCUGGAAUCCGUAGUAAUCGCAUCUCAGAAUGGUGCGGUGAAUAUGUCCCUGCUCCUUGCACACACCGCCCGU
rnacentral:rRNA from 1 species